ACGGUCACAUAACAUUGAAACACCAAUUCCCAUAUGAUCACUGAAGUUAAGCAACGUUGAGCCUGGUCAGUACCUAAAUGGGUGACUGCUUGGGAAUACCAGGUGCUGUGA